UUUCCGUAGGUGAACCUGCGGAAGGAUCAUUAUUGUAUAACCGAGGUGCGAGGGCUGUCGCUGACCCGAAAGGUCGUGCACGCCCGAGUGCCCUCACACACAUCCAUCUCACCCCUAUGUGCACCACCGAGUGGGUCCCCCUUUGGCUUGUUCGGAGGGGGGCUUACGUUUUCACACAAACUUUGUAUGCAGUGUAGAAUGUAUUUUUUGUUUUUGCGAUCACGCAAUCAAUACAACUUUCAACAACGGAUCUCUUGGCUCUCGCAUCGAGAAGAACGCAGC
rnacentral:misc_RNA from 1 species